AUGUAUGCAUGAAAAUAUUAUAUCGAUGAAAUGUCCCCUUCAUUUGUAAAUAGCCCCACAAAAGGGAAAUUUCCAUGGCUUAACAACACUGCUUGGAAACAUAAACAAAGUGGCAAAAAUUGGCAGAAACUAUAAAAUGAAGUGAAGUGAAUUACAAAAUAUGCGGCAUUCCAAAAGUUUACGUGCGGUCAUAAAAGCGAGCUACGUAUGUUGCUACGAAGCUCUGCAAUUGUUUAUUUGUGCACAAGUUGGAGCGAUUUGCAAUGGCUUGGAUAAUAAGUGUAACCCCGCUACCUGAUCGUCCUCGCCAGCGAUAUGCUCGAAAAAGACACACCCUGCUAUUUCAAGGAUCAACGCGAAGCAAGCGCAUUUCGCUUUACCUCCAUUGCUCCAUCCAGCCUCAAUACGGUUCGUUUAAACUUACACCACUCACAGUGAAGAAGAGAAGAAGGAUGCAACCGGCAAGGAUACUAAUUCUAAUUCGGUUUCUAUAUUCCCAACAGAGAACUACGAUCCCAUCACAACGCCAUCAACUCCAGAAUCGGCAUCAAAUAAUGCAAUCGCUUUGCAGUGCAUGAAUGCAGCAGAAGCCAUUACCCCUAUCCGCUAAUGUGACGCAAUGUUAAAGUGCAGAGUACAUGUACGAAGCUCAUAUAGUUGUAAGCCAAGGCUUUUUUUCUUGUAAAUGGUUAAAAAUUCUUGUUGUUAAUACUAACAAAAAUAAAGGUAAUUUAAUUACUUUUAUGUUUGUUAUAAAUUCUUUCAAAAAAAUUAACUUGUUUUACAAAAAAAAUCCAUGUUUUGUGUAUUGCCUUAUGCGAGUGCAGAGUACAUGUACGAAGUUCACAUAGUUGUAAGCCAAGGCUUUUUUUCUUGUAAAUGGUUAAAAAUUCUUGUUGUUAAUACUAACUAAAAUAAAGGUAAUUUAAUUACUUUUAUGUUUGUUAUAAAUUCUUUCAAAAAAAUUAACUUUUUUUACAAAAAAAUCCAUGUUUUGUGUAUUGCCUUAUGCGAGUGCAGAGUACAUGUACGAAGCUCACAUAGUUGUAAGCCAAGGCUUUUUUUCUUGUAAAUGGUUAAAAAUUCUUGUUGUUAAUACUAACUAAAAUAAAGGUAAUUUAAUUACUUUUAUGUUUGUUAUAAAUUCUUUCAAAAAAUUAACCUUUUUUUACAAAAAAAUCCAUGUUUUGUGUAUUGCCUUAUGCGAGUGCAGAGUACAUGUACAAAGUUCACAUAGUUGUAAGCCAAGGCUUUUUUUUUGUAAAUGGUUAAAAAUUCUUGUUAAUACUAAUUACAAUAAAGGUAGUCUAAUUACUUUUCUUUUAUAUAUAAAUUAUUUUAAAUAAAUUCACUUUUGUUAUAAAAAUUUUAAAGUUUUGUGUACUGCCAUAUGCGAGUGUGAAACACAAAGUUGUUAGCCGAGACUUGUUUAAAAGAAAUGUUUCAGAAUCAUGAAUGGUAACACAUUUUAAAAUAAAGGUAAUUUAAUUACCUUUCA